UACGUAGGCAGCAAGCGUUGUUCGGAGUUACUGGGCGUAAAGGGUGCGUAGGCGGCCCUGUAAGUAUGGUGUGAAAUCUCCCGGCUUAACUGGGAGGGUGCGCUAUAGACUGCGGGGCUCGAGUGUGGGAGAGGAAAGUGGAAUUCCUGGUGUAGCGGUGAAAUGCGUAGAUAUCAGGAGGAACACCGGUGGUGUAAACGGCUUUCUGGACAGAUACUGACACUGAGGCACGAAAGCGUGGGGAGCAAACAGG
rnacentral:rRNA from 1 species